GUCAUCUCUGUGUCCACACAUCCUGCCAUAUCUGAUUAAAACAAAUCCCGGCUACCUAAUUAAAACAGUAUGUCAUUGUGUGUCCCAUUUGUGGGCAUGCCCAUAACAACGACACACAGAGUCACUGGUCCCCUCAUGUGUGUUUAGACAACAUGUCACUUUGCAUCACAAAAACACCCAGUGAUGUCAGAGGCGCCGUGCAUCAUAAUGACGCUCCUGGUAUCCAAGAGACCUCAAUUCGCUGCUCAGUCACUGUCCCUGCGGUGAGAACUGGUGGCUGGAUCGGAGCCUCCAGCUGAAGGGAACCUGAUUACAUCUAGAUUGACCCCUAUUGUGUGACAGCUAAUGACCCAGUUAACCUCUGAAAGAAAUUACUUGCUCACCAGCCAGGGACCGACAUCUGGCAGAAGCCCAGGUCUGCUCCUCCGGCAGACGGGAGCCAGACAGCCAUACUCGGGCAAAUGCUCUGACAAAAAUGAACUAGAAGCCACAAUAAAGUCGUCAGAUGCUUGAACUUGGACAUCAAAUCCCAUUGAAUGAAGCGACAGAUGCAGACCUGCGACCACUGUGCUGUUUGGGAGCCGUUCAGAUGCCACGAGAGGCGUCGUCAUUGGUAACGCGUUUUAAAACUGGUGAACGACCCUCAUGAAGUCGUGAACAAAACAAAGCACCACCUCAAUUUACACCAUGGUUUCCUUCCUGAAAAACUCGGGAUAUUUUAAAACAGUGGGAAAAAAAUAUUUUUGUGUCUGUGUAAAAUGGAAUUUGGUUCUGGCUCAGGUCAUUUGAAGCAGCUUUUUCAUCUAUGUGAACAUCCAGAGGGGCAUUCAACAUUAGUGCCAGUGCCUGAAGAUCAAGUAGAGUGGUGGGCUGUGGAGGGCGAGCCCAGAAUCAGUCCCUGAGGCGGGUGUCGGUGUCCCGUUUCCAGACGGCGAAAUGAAGCCAGAGAGAGGAAGAAGUUCACCGAGGUCCCACAGCCGGAGAGGGACGAGGGGGGGCUUCAACGGGAUGCUAUUGGGAGGGAGGCCUGAAUCUAACUGCAGUGUGAUUUCCGGCCUUUUGGGUCACACCCCUGGGCAGACUCUGCAGCAGCCCAGCAAACCUUGCAGUCCCCAGCACGAGAAGGGUGGAUUCCAUCUCUGACUUUCCCCUGAAACUGAAGAGGAGGAACACCCUGAUCACCCAGCUGUUAGUAGACUGCCUGGACCCCCGGUCCUGACUUCGUGCGCCAGCCGCUUUGAGUCCGGCUGAUAAAGGCUCACGGGUGUCCCCUCCCCGAAGUACAGCCCUAGGCCAAAGGGGAGCUUCCUUGCCCAGGAGGUUAUAACCCUCAUGCACAUCCUAGCCAGAGAGAGUGACAGAGAGAGAAAAACGCCAGCCCCCUUGCCUCAAGUUGGGAUCAACUCCGGGAUACAGUUCAUGCUCUGGGGCUCUCCAUAUGGGAUCUCUCCCACAUGGGAUCAGGCUGAAAUUACUCUCCUUCCUUGCUUAGCUUUCUUCCCUUACCCUGUUCUGUACCUUCACUCCCUUUUCUUAGGAGCAUCUCCUCAAUAGAUCACGUGCAAAAGGUCUCCGUCAUAGGCUCUGCUUCUAGAGCACUGACCUAAUGUCGGGUCAAGAUGGAAACCAAAAGACCACUUAGGAGACAACGGCAAUAAUCAGGGUAUCCCAUCCAAAUGGCAGAUCGAAAGAUCACUUACUGGGAAGUCAAAGAACAUGGAUUCCAGUCUUGUGUCUACAACGAGCUCUCUGGAUAACGUUGAAUGAGUCCCAUCCCGUCCCCGGGCCUCAGUUUCCUCAUCUGUCACGUAAGCAGCUAUACCGGAUGUUCCUUAAGAUCCUUCCCAUUGUGAAAUUUCUAAGAUUAAGUGAGAGAGAGAGAGAGAGAGAGAUGCGGCAGUAUUCUCUCAACUCCGAAGUGCUUAGUGAUGAUAAUGGGUUCUUCCUGUGAUGAUGAUGUCAGCCUGACACCUCCCGUUCUUACAGGGCCCCCCCAGCACCCAAAUCAUCAGCGCUUCCUGAGAGCUCCAUCUCCUAAGUAGAUUCUGAAUCCACUCACUUCUCUCUUCUCUCCUCCUCCCCACCUUUAUCCAAGCCACCAGAAGAAACCAUGUGGUUUGUGCUGAGCAUCUGCUUUCCUUCUGCGUGUCUGGAAUCUUGGCUGAGCAGAGGACACCUACAUGACCAGCCCCCAGCAAAUGCCAUGGGCUCUGAGUCUCUAAGGAGCUUCCCUGGUAGACAACACUUCCCACCUGUUGGGUCUCCCUGCGCCCUGCACCCCACAGCUCAAGCUGCGCUUCCACACUACAGGUCAGAUCAUGACACUCCUUUGCUUAAAUUUCUCCAAUGAUUUCCCAUCAAAUAAAAUCCAAACUCCUUACUGUGGCCCACGAGGCAUGAUCUGGUCUAUUAACGCUCCUUUAAGAGGCCAAGUCCUUGCUCAGGGUCAUUGUUCUCACUACUUCCCACUCCCUUGCUCCAGAAACGUGCUCCCCAGCACUUAGCCUGGCUGGCUGCUUCUCAUUUUAGGAAUGAAAAGAGUACCUCCCCGGGGAACCCUUCCCUGACCACGCCGAUAAAGCAGCCUUCCAUGGUCAUCACUUCCUACCUCAUCGUCUUAUUUUCUUCUCUUCAUAGCACUUACCAUACAAUCUGAAAACAUCUUAUUUGCUCACGUGUUCGUUAUCUCUCGCUGUCUCCCCAACCAGAAUGGAAGCUCCAUGAGGACAGGAACCUUGUCUGUCUUGUUCAGAACUUUACUCCCAGCAGCUAGCACAGUGUCUGGUAUAGUCAGUGCUUAACAGAUAUUUGCUGAAUGACUAAAUAAGAGAAAGUGCGCUCAGUCGUAGACAGGCUGCCCUUGUUCGCCUGGUUCCUGUUUCCAGGUGCACAGUUGAAUCCAGAGCCCACGCAUCUCGUUUACCGUCUGCUUCCUGGAACUUGCUGGGCAGCUUCGUACACCUGCACCUUGUCUUUGUCAGGUCCAUUUCUUAAAAACAACAGAAGUCAUGCCGAAAAUUUAAACAGAAAAGGAAUUUACUAAAACAAGUGGGUAGCUAGGAGAUUUCCCAGGAGGGCCAGAUAAUCAGAUUUAGAGGCUACAUAGCUAAGAACUUGGUCCAAAAAUCAUCCCACAGAGCUAUUCACAUGAAGGUACCUCUGGCACCUCUGGGCACAAACCCUAUGGCUCCCAUUUCUCAGAGCACUGAUGUACAGCUCCUCCCACUCACGGGCCAGCCCCAGAACUGAUUUCAUGAGGUUCUGGUUUCUUAAAGAGACAAGAUCCCAAUUCCAAAUUUGUGUAUGUGGGUGCAGAUGCUGAGUGCACCCAGAUUCAGGGCCCUAGCCCUAGCUGCAAGGGAGGCUGGGUAACUGAGUAAUUGGAGUUACAGCAAGAGGCAGUGGUUUAUAAGGUGUAACGUUUGCUGAACGCAGGAAAGGAAGUCAGGGUUUCUGUAUGACUAGACGAAGUGCACACACUCAGUAAAUUCUUUGGGCAGGUGGCCACGGAAGAGCUCUCUUCCCCUUUAAGCCAUCGGCUCUUAUCCCACCAGAAGGCUGCAGCAAACCAUCCCCUCUCUCUCUCUCUCAGGGUGACAGGCAGCGCUGUGACCACUUUCCAGAAGCUUCUUUCCUUUAAGGCAAUGAGGAGCUGCUGGAAUUGCUGUCUCGGUAGUUCCAAUCAUUGCUCAUUCUUGCUCAGCACAAAAUCAACCUCAGGAUUGACACGGCUGUGCCUGAAAGAGUUUUUUAUGCUAAACACCAGACGUAAACACAGCCCAGUAGACCAUGGAGUCCGGCCUGGAUUUACGCGUAUGACGUGGGGGAACAGGCAGAGAAAGGGCUGCACUGGUGUCUACACUCAACUUCUAUCCUUUCUGCUUUCCUUCCUUAACAAAGACUUAGGAAGUGUCCGCCACAGGCCAAGCAAUGUGCUAGGAGCUGGACAUGCGCUUCUGAGGCAUGGUCCCUGCCAUCCCGGAGUUCAUCUGGGGUGGAGUUGGGGAGAGCAGAUAUCAACAAAAUGGUCGUUCCAAUAAAUGUAAUCUGCAGAUGAAGACAAGUGUGCCCUCUGAAAGUCGACUAAAUCCUGUUCCUUGCCUGCUCAGAGCCCUCUGACAUCUUCCCCACACCCAGAGUAAAAUCCACGCUACCAGCCCCACGGGAUGUGGCCAUGGUGGCCUCUGGCCAACCUCCUGACAUUCUGCCUGAACUCACUGGGCCUAGCCACACGAGCCUUUUCUCUGUUUCUUCUGCUUUGUUCAGCUUACAGUUAUUUUUGAGUCUCUGUUACUCAUAGUCCCACCCACCCCCAAUGGACACGGCACAUUCAGGAACUUUGGUCUUUAUUUUUAGGGCAAGGUAAAGUGCUGGAAGUGUCUAGACAGUGGGGCGAUGUGUGGGUUUGGUGCAUUCGGGGAUCCCUCUGGCUGCGUUGAGGAAACCAGUGGACGUUGGGUGCUGGGUGUUGGGUUUUGGGUGAGGUCAUGGGGGAGCCUCCUGUCCUCCCACAGCGUAGAGGACGCUGAGCUUAUGUCGAGACGAGCUGAGACCAGGAGGCCCACAGGCCUCAGCUGCUCCCCAUGGGGGUUCCCUGGGCAGCUGCGAGGUUGGAGAUGGGUCACACUCCCAGACCCCAGCCCCCUUGUCUGAGAAACGGGAGGCUCGGCGACUCUCUGACUUGUAAGGGCCCUGCCCACGCUGAAGAGCUGAAGCUCACACAGCUGGUGGAGGGCAAAUCCGCGUCGGCUCCACUGUCUGUGUUUCUUGUGCAGUUUCAUGGCCCCUUCUGCUCCCCCGAGCAAGCCCACCAUGUUUUACCAGAAAAGAACUGGAGGAGAGGCAGGAUCUCGACAUCCCAGAUGGUCAUGGAAGAGACUUGGGGUCGAGGAACACCCCUGACGCCCUCAGCCCACAUUCCUCAGUGUCCUCCCCCUCAAAGGUGCGCAGGGAUGAGGCCCCACUCUGGCGGUGGAGACAGACAUGGACAGAUGAGUGAACAACGGAACAAAGUGCCUCAGACAGCGGCCAUUGCCCUGACCGUGGGUGUCAGGGCAGCCCACACCCCUCCACACUCACAGCCCGCCCUUGUCACCUGCCAUCUGACCACAAGCCCCAGAGUCCACCUGAUGGCGCUCUCCUGACCCAGGGAAAUGCUGGGAGCUGACACCCCAGACGCAGGGACGUCUGGGACCCCAAGGGAUGAAAGACCUCUGCCAGGGACAGCUGGGACCCCGAGGGCUUUCCUGGUAACACACCUGCGCUGUCCCACUGCCCCACUGCCCUGCAGGGUCUCCCAGAAUAAACUCCUCCCCUCUCUCUUCUCGUCAGCACCUUCUUCUGGGACCUGAACCACGGCCGACGAAGUCAAACAUGAUGGCAGGACGGAACAGAGGCCGAUGAGCUUUUGUGCAAGGGCCAGAUGGUAAGUGUUCUAGGUUCUGCGGGUACCCAGUCUCUGUCACAACUACUCAGCUGUGCUCCGUGGCAAGAAGAUACAUAAGUGAAUCAAUGUGGCCGUUUCAAUAAAACUUUAUUUACAAAACAGGCAGCGGGCUGGAUUUGCCCCCGGCUGUGCUUUGCUGACCGCCGGGAUGGAGAGUCACCAGUUAGGGGCAAAGGGUGUUGAGCAGAUAAUGUGUGAAUGAGAAGUCGCCAAAUGAAGUUCCAGGGGAGGGCAUUCCAAGCAGAGGGAACUGCAAGGACAAAGGCCACAAGGUAGGAACACCAUUGGUACGUUAGAGGAACAGAGAGUUGGCCAACAUGGCUGGAGAAGGAAGAGAGACAAGCCAGGACACGCUAGGAAGAUAACUAGUUCUGAACGGUCCUGUGUGCUCCUGGCACUUAUUUAAUCGCCCCAACAGCCCCACGGGGAAGUGCAAUUAUUGCCCCACUGUCCAGAGGAGGAAACUGAGGCACAGGGAGGUGAAGCACUUGGCCUGAGGUCACCAGGCUAGUUACCAGUGGGGCCAGGAUGCUCCUCCCCUCCGCUCACAAUGAGCACUGCCCAUGGGGAGAGGGAGGUCACGGCGUGUUCACCCCAGGGCCCUGCAGAGCUGGGCACGCAGCAGAGACUUGGUGACAACAAACAACAGUAAUAGUGACAUUUGUCCAGCACCAACCCUGUGCCAGGCCCCCUUCUAGGAUCUUCACACAGACUGAUUCAUCUAAUCCUCAUAUCCACUCUAUGAGGUAGAGGUGCAUGUCACCCUGCGACACAGGAGGAAACUGAGGCACUGAGGGUGUAAGUAAUUUUCCC
ensembl:lncRNA